AGAGAUUACAAAUCAAUUAGAACUCAUCAAAUUUUUAAUAUAUCCUGUUUUCUUUUUAAACACACUAUCUAGUCAUAUAUCAAAUAAUGAAGGUGAAUUCCUAAAUGAUAAACCUAAAAAAGGGACUUAAAUUACAAAGAAAGGUUUUGUUAUCUGAUUGACUCCAACACACCCAAAAGAAUCAUAGCCAGAGAAACAAAGACUCUAAGAGCUGGAAGGGACCUUAAGGCCAUCUAGUCCCAAUACACAUCUGAAUAAGAAUCCUCUCAACACCUGGAGACUUCUUCCAAAAGAAGCAGUCAUAGAGGCUUUGCUUGAAGACCUCCAGUCAUAGCAGAACAUCCUACCUCCAGAGGCAAUUAAUAUUCCACUUCUGGAGAGUUUUGUUUUAUCUUUUUGGUUUGUUUAACUAGGCAGGUGAUGACCAGGAUUUUCUUGGAUAUAGAGCCCUCUUCCUUAAACAAUUCACAUUAGCACCUUUCCUGCAAAUUGCAAGGUCUUUAAAAGUUGCCUGGGGCACUAGGAGAGUAAGUAACUGCAGGUCUUCCUGACACCAAUGCCAGUUAUCCAUCAGCAGCUUUGUUAGGAAAUGUUACUUCAAAGGAAACCUAAAUCUGACUCUCUUAGUUCUGCCCCAGAGGCCAAGGAGAACAAGUGACAUGUGACAGCUGAUCAAAUACUUGCAGAUGUUUCCUCUAAGUCUUCUCUUCUCCAGGUUAAACAUCCAACCUCCUCAACUUCUUCAGCCCCCUCCCACUAGAGAGUGAGCCAUCUCUUGUAAUAAAGAAAAGGAAUGAGAAGAAAAAGAAGAUUCGGCAAAAUGAAAUAAUACCUCAAAUUGAGUCUGACAGCAUGGGUAUUAUUCUAUACUGGUACUUUGCAUUUAGUCUCACUGAAUUUGGAACUUUAAGGACUGAAGAGAUCAUCUGGUCCAAUACUCAAAUUUUACAGAUGAAGAAACUGGGCCCCAGAGAGAUUAAGUGACAUGUACACUCACAUAGCUAAUAGGCAUCAGAACAAGGAUUCAAAUUCAAGUCUUAUGGCUCAACUUCUUUUACUUCACCACAGUGGCUCUAAUCCAAACUUAUUUGGCCUACCGUCUCCUUUAAGAAAAAAAUUAUGCAGUACCU